GUUCACUCUGGGGGAGAGUAAUGCGGCCAAUUCGACCUCGAACUCGACCUCCGUUGAGUUGCUAUUGACGCCCCUGACGCUGGACAAUUCGUCCAGCCUCUUCACACAAGAGUGAUGAUGGAACCCUCCUCCUUACAGAGACGACAGGGUCCAAUCAGUAUUCUCUUUAACAAUUGGACGUGCCCUGAAAUGCCUUCUUGACCUUGGAUUCACUGUAGAACCCCGGGCCGAAAACUGACAGCCCGGGCCCAUAAAUUGUCUUUAUGGCCUAGCCUUCAAGUUCUUGCCCCUUUCUGAAACUUCAUAAGCCGCCAAAAUGAUCUCCCGAUCCAGUUCCUCGUACCAGCCUUUAGAGAAGCAAAACCAAUCCAGCCGGAAGAACAGCAUUGAGGAGAGUGAAGGUCAUGAGCUGACCAGCAUAGCUGUGAUCUCCAGUCAUCCUCUACGUUCCAAUGCCCAUCCAACGGUUAAUACCACCGCUGUGUCCAGUGCCAACCAUCACCAUGACUUGGAUUUCACCAUGUUCAAGUCCGAAGAGAAGACCCAAUGGACCAACUUUCAUUUCGUGAUGUGCAUUGGCAUCAUCGGGUUCUUCGUGUUCUGGGUCAUCCUCCUGGGAAAAAUGUACCUGCCACCUGAGCUUCGCGUUUGGGGCCUGAUAUCUUCGGGCUGGAACGGGAUGGUCAAGUUCACUCUGGGGGAGAGUAAUGCGGCCAAUUCGACCUCGAACUCGACCUCCGUUGAGUUGCUAUUGACGCCCCUGACGCUGGACAAUUCGUCCAGCCUCUUCACACAAGAGUGAUGAUGGAACCCUCCUCCUUACAGAGACGACAGGUAUCAUUCAAAAGCAUUGCGUGGAUCACCAAGGGCCAAGAAGGCCUCCGAUUCGAAAACGGGAUCGCCUCCUAUUUAUUGUUAUCCAGUGGAAAGUUUUGAGCGUUCCACAAGAGCUGAUCCUGAUCCCAGAACAAGUACCCAUAAACGCUCCGCGGAGUCGAAGCCACCUUAUACAUAGAUAUAUUUUGCAGUCACAUCACAGUUUGACCAGAUGAUUCAUAGUAAUAAUUAGAUACUUUCUCUCCCGAUGAGAUUCCCAUAUUAACCAUUCUUUCACAUUCAGUAUGUACUGUUUGUUGAUCCUUUCCCUCUGACAUUCAAUAAAUUGACAAUUGACUCA